CGCUUUCCGUGUUUACGUCAGCAAAUAAAAGCAAAAUAUGUGCGCGUGCGUGUUUAACAACAUCCUAUGUGCAACUCAAAGGACCUCUUAAAUUGCACAAGGAGGGCAGAGGGGGAGUCGAAGGUUGAGCGGGCAGUAGAAGUAGAGGGAGGGAGUGCGCUUUAGGUUUAGGUUUGCUUUGUUUUCGGGGUUUAGCAUUCAGAAGAGGCGUGGACUAGGAGGGGUUGAGGGCGCGGCGGGCUAAGCUAGGCCGCGGCCCGGCGGCUAGGGGGGCGCCGCCGUACCUCCCCCGGCUAGUGGACAUGGGGAGCUAGCUCGGCAUGCUGGAGCGCGGGGGCGUCGAGCUGCUGCUGCGGUGGCGGCGCCCUCCGCCGCCACUCCGAUCCCAAACGCUGGGCGGCCACUCCACCCUGCUCCUCGGGUUCCUCCCUUGGGUGUAUACGCUCGUUCCCCAUUUUCUACUAGGACUCCUUUUACUGUGCCUUCUGGUGGAAUCACAACAGUUAUAAAUACUCUCGCUACUACUUUACUAGUGGAACUUCCUUAGUCCUCUUUUGCAGGUAAGACUAACGGGUGAAGCAGUUGUUUGACCGUAGACCCAUGGAGGAAGACAAGGUGGCUACUGUUUCGUACUAGUACUCCUCACCGUUUUCCCGAAACAGAGUUUACGACCGAUGAAGCAUCUUCUGCUUAUAUUCACCCUAUAUCUACUUCUGUAAUCCCUCUACUGUUACACCCUACACAAGCGACUCUACCGACAACGUCCUUUUCUAUUUAAUAAUAGACAACGUAGUAUACUAAAACCCUCCGUAUCGUACAGAGAUCAAAGUGUGAAGGAAGAAGUUCGCCGAAACCUCCUAUUGAGAGUUUGUGAACGUCUCCGGUCACAACCAAGACUUGUACGAGACGAACUCUGUCUUGGCUGUUUCACCAACGGACUAUCACGACGAGGAAGAACGUACGAAACACCUCGUGCGAAGGUAGGUCAUUAAACGAGAGCGGUAGUAACAGCAAAAACACCACCCUAUAAGACACCGCCGACAAGUUUCCCAUCUUCGAACUACGGAGGUUUUAAGCCUUGAAGUCUAGGAGUUUCCCAGACACUACAAACACCUCAUGCAGAACUCACAUAAGUCGGAAUGAACUACUCGGUCUAUUCAGCACGAACAGUUGAAGGCUGAUUUCUAAACUGUCUGGACUCGUGGAACUCCAGUACCAAUUUGGAGGGUACCCGUGGUUGCUACCUCAUACUCUAUAUGUUCCGACGUUUAAGGUAUGUACCCAUAACAUUCCAACCUUUCGACUUAGGUCUCUUCAGGUAAGGACUAAGUUAAGAAUCUGUUCGUUUCCCCGAACGAUAUUAAUGACACCAUUUCCAACCUUACUACCAGUGCAUGUUUUAACCAUGACCCGACCAGUAACGAGCGUCUCGACUACCAAGAACCAGGGGAGGAAGUCGGUAUAGAUGAACACCACAACCUAUACCUCGAGUCCGACCGCGACUCAAUCGACUGAAGUAGUAACAAGACUCCUUGUGACUACGUUAAUUUUGUAAGUCACCUUUACGUGUAGACAGUGAACCACGACCAAAGCCACGAAGACGACCAGUAGAACCUUCCCACCGUCUCCGACUAAAGGCACGGCCACUACCUCCAAUACGACGGACAAUGUGUAUGUCAACAUCGUUUCCGCGGAAACACCCUACGCGUGAGUUACCUUCACAUCAUAGUUGAGCUUUGUUGCUUUUACGGGCUAAGAUACCGCCAGGUCAGUUCCGUAGUCUUUAGGAAGAACCAAGUGACCGGUUCGGUGGACGGCGGCGGUGAGAGAUAUUUCGAGAUAGGUGUGACAAACUAUCCUAGCCUUUUAUCAGAACCAGAAAAAUACACCACUGUGUGUAACACAGGGAGGGACAACCAGCACUGGGAACCUCGAAGUCACAGAGAUCCAUUAGACGAACAAACGAUUAAGGACCCACAGUCAGUUCGUUGACAUAUCAGACGGUAAGCAACCAUGCAGUUUGUCCAGUAGAUAGGACACGGUCUUUGAUGAGACAUUUACAACAUGUAUACUAGUGUUAACGCGCUCUUUACUUUCACUUUUCUUUUCUUUUUAUAACGAG
rnacentral:rRNA from 1 species